GACGAACCGUGCGAACGUUGUUCGGAAUCACUGGGCUUAAAGGGCGCGUAGGCGGGCGAUCAAGUCAGGGGUGAAAUCCUCCGGCUCAACCGGAGAACUGCCUUUGAUACUGGUCAUCUCGAGUGAGGUAGGGGCAUGCGGAACUGAUGGUGGAGCGGUGAAAUGCGUAGAUAUCAGUCGGAACACCGGUGGCGAAGGCGGCUUCUUGGGCCGUUCCUGACGCUGAGGCGCGAAAGCCAGGGGAGCGAACGGG
rnacentral:rRNA from 1 species